AGUGAACGCUGGCGGUAGGCCUAACACAUGCAAGUCGAACGGCAGCACAGGAGAGCUUGCUCUCUGGGUGGCGAGUGGCGGACGGGUGAGGAAUACAUCGGAAUCUACUCUGUCGUGGGGGAUAACGUAGGGAAACUUACGCUAAUACCGCAUACGACCUACGGGUGAAAGCAGGGGACCUUCGGGCCUUGCGCGAUUGAAUGAGCCGAUGUCGGAUUAGCUAGUUGGCGGGGUAAAGGCCCACCAAGGCGACGAUCCGUAGCUGGUCUGAGAGGAUGAUCAGCCACACUGGAACUGAGACAUGGUCCAGACUCCUACGGGAGGCAGCAGUGGGGAAUAUUGGACAAUGGGCGCAAGCCUGAUCCAGCCAUACCGCGUGGGUGAAGAAGGCCUUCGGGUUGUAAAGCCCUUUUGUUGGGAAAGAAAUCCAGCUGGUUAAUACCCGGUUGGGAUGACGGUACCCAAAGAAUAAGCACCGGCUAACUACGUGCCAGCCGCCGCCGUAA
rnacentral:rRNA from 1 species